UUUUAGGGCACUCGGGGGUCGUUUUAGGGCACUCGGGGGUGGUUUUGGGCACUCAGGGGUGUGUUAGGGCAUUCGGGAUCGUUUUAGGGCACUUUGGGGUCGUUUUAGGGCACUGGGGGGUGUUUUUGGGCACUUUGGGGUCGUUUUAGGGCACUCGGGGGUGGUUUUGGGUCCUGGCAAAGCCACCCCCCGAGCCGUUGUCCUGUCCCCACGUCCCCGCAGCGCGUGCACUUGGUGCCGGAGCCCUGCACCCUGGACAUCGACGGCGUGAUCCUGGGCCUCACCUCCACCGACCUCAUCUUCCACAUGGGCGCCGAGGAGAUCAGCAGCUCCUCGGGGAUCUCGGACAGGUUCACGCGAAUCCUCAAGCACAUCCUGACGCAGAGGAGGUGAGGGACGUGGCACAAACACCCGCCCGAACCCAAAAAGGGCUUUUUUUUUCUCGCCAAAUAAGGGAAAUCCUGGGCUGUUGUCGCCCUCUUCCCCUUUCAAGUACAUUUUUAACCCCCCAAAACUGUCAGUUUGGGGUUUGACAACCCUUUUAAAAGAGGAUUCGGAGGGUUGUAGCGCUGUAAAUCCUCCUGGUGCGUGUCAGGCGUCCCCGGCCGAGAGCCGCCCUCGGCAAUAAAGCAAAACAAGCAGAAAGAAGUCUUUCUACC
rnacentral:lncRNA from 1 species